rnacentral:lncRNA from 1 species
UGACUCUGCAAAGAACAUUUAAUGAUUUUGAUUUUUUUCAUCAUAGCAAAUGAAAAGGCUAAUUACAGCACAACCCCAUAGUGUGAUUUCAUCCAUGUUAAAAAAGUAUACAGAUCUGGAAGGAUAAUAAGCCAGGAAUACACAGUGAUUAGUCCUGCAUGAUGGGACUUCAGAGAUUUUGUAAAUCUUUAUUUUCUAAAGUAACAAUGUAUAUUCAUUGCUUUUAUAAUAAGAAAACCCACAAAAACAGUUAUGUUAAAAUAAUUUACAUAGUUUUGGCAGAUAGCACUUGCAGGCUAACUCUAUAGCUAUUACUGUCUCCUCCCUUGCUGCUUCAGAUUUCUAUUGUUGAAUUCUCAUCUUGCUAGUGUCCCUGACCACUAGGGUGGUCAAGAGAUGGAGUUCAGCCCUUGAGAUUUAAGUAGAAGUCUGUUGGGUGGAAGUGGAGAUGUCUGGGAAGGCUCUGUCUUCUGAUGAAAGGAGGAGAUAUUACUGGUUCCUCUGCUUCACCUUUCUUCUUCCUGGAAGGUAGAGGUGAUGCUUUGAACAGCAGCAGCCCUUUUGUGCCCAUGAGGUCAAAAGGGUGGUGGAGCAGAAACGUAAAGGCUGGGUUUUGAUGGCAUCCUUGAAUCAGUUCAUCAGCCUCCAGGCUUCUUGUUAUGGGUGAUAACUUUGAUACAACAGUUCUGGUUAGACUGGUUAUGAGUGCUUUUGGCUGCAGGUAACAAAGUUUAGGCCUCUUCUCUAGGUUCUAAAUCACUCCUAUGCUACACACUGGAAAGAAAUGGGGGCGUUUUGGAAUUCCCGUCAUGGCUUAGUGGAAAGGAAUUUAACUAGUGUCCAUGAAGAUGGAUGUUCGAUCCCUGGCCUCACUCAGUGGGUUAAGGAUCUGGCGUUGCUGUGAGCUGUGGUGUAGGUGGCGAUGCAGCUCAGAUCUGAUGUUGCUGUGGCUGUGGCAUAGGCUGGUGGCUACCGCUCUGAUUCGAUUUGACCCCCUAGCCUGGAACCUCCAUAUGCUGCGGAUAUGGCUCCCAAAAAAGAAAGAAAAAAAGAAAAAGAAAGAAGGGCAUUUUCACCCAGAUGUGUUCUUCCUAAGCUGGUGGUGCCAUCUAUUUGGCAUUUGUCUCUGGGUUCAUUUGGUGGCUCUGGGGAGAGAGAGGCACGGAAUGUCCUCUGCAGGGUAGGGAAUGCAGUAAGCACACCCAUCUGCCAGAAGAGAGCAGGGCACCAUAUGAGCAAGAGGAUCUGCUGACCCUCAAAACACCUACUAUGUGCCAUGCACCAGGGAGGCCAAAGAACAAAAGAGACCUUGGCCUUGUGCUUCUGAAGCUUACGGCUUGAUGGAGAAACAGGAUAUUGCAAAGUCGCUGUUCAUUCUUUGCCUAACAGGGUUUUGAAGGACAGGGAGCCGUGUGAGUAAAGACGGAGGCUGAUUUGGUCUGGAUCUCAGGGAAGGUAGCCUAGUAGCUGCUUGCUGUAUCCUUAAGCGCACUGAGAUGCCUCCAACAUUCCUGGGCUUGUUUCUAAUGGCCUUAGGUCCUAAGUGCCCACGGAAGGCUUCUUUGGCAAGAGCCCUCACCUGUGGGCUUUCCUGUCCACAGUUGAACUUUCGGCUUCCCAGGGCUUGAGUGACAUGUGAACACAGGUUCAAGGAAGCCACUCACCAGAUGGUGCAGACGCAGGGUGGGUGGCGAAGCUGGGGUUGGGAGAGGGCUGUUCACAUCCCAGCCUUGCACAGGCGCAGCCUACAGUCUUUUUAAGCACAUGUAUGUUGAAUACCUACUGCAUGCUGGGCACUAUGAUCAAAGCAGGCAGUAAUGCCUGCCCUUGGGGCGGCCUCAUUGUCUAGAAGGAGGAGAAGAGAUCACAAGUAAAUCAAAUAGGAGUCUAAGGUGAUGCGUGCUGUGGAAACAAGGCAGGCAGGGCAGGGUCUGGACAUGGGAGGGAGUGGGGUGCUGUGGACGCAGCUCACAGUUAACAGGAAGGUCAGGGCGGCUCUCACUGGGCCCCGGGGAUGGGGGGAUGGGGGUGGCGUCAAGCUGACAUCUAAGGGAAGAGAAGCCCCAGAGCAUGUGCGAUGGCCUUGCGGGGAGACAGUGGAGAAGAGCAGAAGUGGGCCGUGACGGUCAAUUGCCUUGGGAUCUGAUAUGUAUUUCAAAAGGACAGCAAGUCAGUCCUUGAUUUAUUCUGAGCCCCAAAUCUAGAGGGUCAAUGGCAGGGGGCCCUGGGCUGUAACCCAGGAGGCAAGCUGCACAGAUGCUUGUGGUCUCAGAACCUGUGCCUGCCAAGAAAGCCUGAGCAAUGAAGCAUUCAUUUACUUUCGUUGUGACGUCUCUUUAAAAGUGGACAGCUGUUGUGAUCAUAAAAAAUGAUUCAAAUUGUUAAAAACGCAGUUAUCUGUGGGAAUGGAAUGAUAAGGGACCUUCACAGUCUAUCAUGUACAUCUGUAAUCCUUUGGAUUUUUUGAGCAGUUUGGGCCUUGAACAGUGUUUUCUUUUUUUCCUGUUAUUUGUUUUGUGGUUCGAAACAUGGUGGGGCCUUCCUCCAGGCAACGUAAAAAAACCAAGUACAGAGAAGAGCCUGGACUGUGUUGCACAGUCAUAAAUUACAUGCACACAGACCGUCGGGCACAUGAGUCGGGCCCCUAGGGAACCACUUGGGAGGUUCACUCCAGGAGGGCAGAGCUCCCCCUGGCCCAGCCCAGUGCUUUCUCUCGCCAGCUCCAGAUGAACAGAAAAUUUUGAAGGCAGGCUCUGGCAGGUGAGGGGGCGCUGCCCAGGAAAGACGGUGGGGAUGCAGCCCCUCAGCUGGGUUGGAAGCAGACAUCUGGGACCCGAUGGCACAUCCACCAGCUGUGAGGCUUUAAGUAAGCUUCUUGGCCUGAGCCUCGUCCUCACUUGGAAAAUGGGAAUGGCAGCGUUCCCAUCGUGGCUCAGUGGGUUAAGAAACCAACUAGUAUCCAUGAGGAUGCGAAUCUGAUCCCUGGCCUUGCUCUGUGGGUUAAGGAUUGGGCGUGGCUGUGAGCUGCGGUGUAGGUCAGAUUCCACACUGCUGUGGCUGUGGUGUAGGCUGGCAGCUGCAGCUCUGAUUUGACCUCAACUCUGGGAACUUUCAUAUGCCUCGGGAGUGGCCCU